rnacentral:rRNA from 1 species
CGGGGUGGAGUAACGCGUGGGUAACCUAGCCUUCUACAGGGGGGUAACAGUUGGAAACGGCUGCUAAUACCGCAUAAGCGCACGGCAUCGCAUGAUGCAGUGUGAAAAACUCCGGUGGUAUAAGAUGGACCCGCGUUGGAUUAGCUAGUUGGUGAGGUGACGGCCCACCAAGGCGACGAUCCAUAGCCGACCUGAGAGGGUGACCGGCCACAUUGGGACUGAGACACGGCCCAA